AAUCUGGCUUCAGGUCUGGGACAACCACUGGAAACGGUGGCUAAUACCGGAUGUGCCGAGAGGUGAAAGGUUAACUGCCUGAAGAUGAGCUCGCGUCUGAUUAGCUAGUUGGUAGUGUAAUGGACAACCAAGGCGACGAUCAGUAGCUGGUCUGAGAGGACGAUCAGCCACACUGGGACUGAGACACGGCCCAGACUCCUACGGGAGGCAGCAGUGGGGAAUUUUCCGCAAUGGGCGAAAGCCUGACGGAGCAAUACCGCGUGAGG
rnacentral:rRNA from 1 species